rnacentral:rRNA from 1 species
AGAGUUUGAUCAUGGCUCAGAUUGAACGCUGGCGGCAGGCCUAACACAUGCAAGUCGAACGGUAACAGGAAGCAGCUUGCUGCUUCGCUGACGAGUGGCGGACGGGUGAGUAAUGUCUGGGAAGCUGCCUGAUGGAGGGGGAUAACUACUGGAAACGGUAGCUAAUACCGCAUAAUGUCGCAAGACCAAAGAGGGGGACCUUCGGGCCUCUUGCCAUCGGAUGUGCCCAGAUGGGAUUAGCUUGUUGGUGGGGUAACGGCUCACCAAGGCGACGAUCCCUAGCUGGUCUGAGAGGAUGACCAGCCACACUGGAACUGAGACACGGUCCAGACUCCUACGGGAGGCAGCAGUGGGGAAUAUUGCACAAUGGGCGCAAGCCUGAUGCAGCCAUGCCGCGUGUAUGAAGAAGGCCUUCGGGUUGUAAAGUACUUUCAGCGGGGAGGAAGGGAGUAAAGUUAAUACCUUUGCUCAUUGACGUUACCCGCAGAAGAAGCACCGGCUAACUCCGUGCCAGCAGCCGCGGUAAUACGGAGGGUGCAAGCGUUAAUCGGAAUUACUGGGCGUAAAGCGCACGCAGGCGGUUUGUUAAGUCAGAUGUGAAAUCCCCGGGCUCAACCUGGGAACUGCAUCUGAUACUGGCAAGCUUGAGUCUCGUAGAGGGGGGUAGAAUUCCAGGUGUAGCGGUGAAAUGCGUAGAGAUCUGGAGGAAUACCGGGGGCGAAGGCGGCCCCCUGGACGAAGACUGACGCUCAGGUGCGAAAGCGUGGGGAGCAAACAGGAUUAGAUACCCUGGUAGUCCACGCCGUAAACGAUGUCGACUUGGAGGUUGUGCCCUUGAGGCGUGGCUUCCGGAGCUAACGCGUUAAGUCGACCGCCUGGGGAGUACGGCCGCAAGGUUAAAACUCAAAUGAAUUGACGGGGGCCCGCACAAGCGGUGGAGCAUGUGGUUUAAUUCGAUGCAACGCGAAGAACCUUACCUGGUCUUGACAUCCACGGAAGUUUUCAGAGAUGAGAAUGUGCCUUCGGGAACCGUGAGACAGGUGCUGCAUGGCUGUCGUCAGCUCGUGUUGUGAAAUGUUGGGUUAAGUCCCGCAACGAGCGCAACCCUUAUCCUUUGUUGCCAGCGGUCCGGCCGGGAACUCAAAGGAGACUGCCAGUGAUAAACUGGAGGAAGGUGGGGAUGACGUCAAGUCAUCAUGGCCCUUACGACCAGGGCUACACACGUGCUACAAUGGCGCAUACAAAGAGAAGCGACCUCGCGAGAGCAAGCGGACCUCAUAAAGUGCGUCGUAGUCCGGAUUGGAGUCUGCAACUCGACUCCAUGAAGUCGGAAUCGCUAGUAAUCGUGGAUCAGAAUGCCACGGUGAAUACGUUCCCGGGCCUUGUACACACCGCCCGUCACACCAUGGGAGUGGGUUGCAAAAGAAGUAGGUAGCUUAACCUUCGGGAGGGCGCUUACCACUUUGUGAUUCAUGACUGGGGUGAAGUCGUAACAAGGUA